UCCUACGGGAGGCAGCAGUGGGGAAUAUUGGGCAAUGGACGAAAGUCUGACCCAGCAACGCCGCGUGGAGGAUGAAUGCCGUAAGGUUGUAAACCUCUUUCAGUGGGGAAGAAGCGAAAGUGACGGUACCCACACAAGAAGGCCCGGCCAACUACGUGCCAGCAGCCGCGGUAAUACGUAGGGGCCAAGCGUUAUCCGGAUUUAUUGGGCGUAAAGAGCUCGUAGGCGGUUUGGUAAGUCGGUCGUGAAAGUCCGAGGCUCAACCUCGGAAUGCCGGUCGAUACUGCCAUGACUAGGGUUCGGUAGAGGAGAGUGGAAUUCUCGGUGUAGCGGUGAAAUGCGCAGAUAUCGAGAGGAACACCAGUAGCGAAGGCGGCUCUCUGGGCCGAUACCGACGCUGAGGAGCGAAAGCGUGGGGAGCAAACAGGAUUAGAUACCCCGGUAGUCCAAGCCG
rnacentral:rRNA from 1 species